AGUGAACGCUGGCGGUAGGCCUAACACAUGCAAGUCGAACGGCAGCACAGUAAGAGCUUGCUCUUACGGGUGGCGAGUGGCGGACGGGUGAGGAAUACAUCGGAAUCUACUUUUUCGUGGGGGAUAACGUAGGGAAACUUACGCUAAUACCUCAUACGACCUACGGGUGAAAGCAGGGGAUCUUCGGACCUUGCGCGAUUGAAUGAGCCGAUGUCGGAUUAGCUAGUUGACGGGGUAAAGGCCCACCAAGGCGACGAUCCGUAGCUGGUCUGAGAGGAUGAUCAGCCACACUGGAACUGAGACACGGUCCAGACUCCUACGGGAGGCAGCAGUGGGGAAUAUUGGACAAUGGGCGCAAGCCUGAUCCAGCCAUACCGCGUGGGUGAAGAAGGCCUUCGGGUUGUAAAGCCCUUUUGUUGGGAAAGAAAAGCAGCAGGUUAAUACCCCGCUGUUCUGACGGUACCCAAAGAAUAAGCACCGGCUAACUUCGUG
rnacentral:rRNA from 1 species